GGUGCUAUGGCUCAGUGGGAGAGCAUCUGCUUUGUGUAUAUAAGGUCCCAGGUUCAAUCCCUGGCGUCUCUA
rnacentral:tRNA from 1 species